CCUACGGGAGGCAGCAGUGAGGAAUAUUGGUCAAUGGGCGGGAGACUGAACCAGCCAAGCCGCGUGAGGGAGGAAGGUACAGAGUAUCGUAAACCUCUUUUGUCAGGGAACAAAGGCUGGGACUCGUCCCCGGAUGAGGGUACCUGAAGAAAAAGCAUCGGCUAACUCCGUGCCAGCAGCCGCGGUAAUACGGAGGAUGCGAGCGUUAUCCGGAUUUAUUGGGUGUAAAGGGUGCGUAAGGGGCAUCGCAAAUCAGCAGUGAAAUCCCAGGGCUCAACCCCGGAAGAGUUUUGGAAACUGGCGAGCUGGAGUGGGAGAGAGGUAAGCGGAAUGCGUGGUGUAGCGGUGAAAUGCGUAGAUAUUGGGAAGAACACCGAUGGCGAAGGCAGCGUACUGGA
rnacentral:rRNA from 1 species